AACGAACGCUGGCGGAAGGGAGAACACAGGCAAGUCGAGCGGACCCUUCGGGGUUAGCGGCGGACGGGUGAGUAACGCGUGGGAAUAUGCCCUUCUCUACGGAAUAGUCCUGGGAAACUGGGGGUAAUACCGUAUACGCCCUUUGGGGGAAAGAUUUAUCGGGGAAGGAUUAGCCCGCGUUGGAUUAGGUAGUUGGUGGGGUAAUGGCCUACCAAGCCGACGAUCCAUAGCUGGUUUGAGAGGAUGAUCAGCCACACUGGGACUGAGACACGGCCCAGACUCCUACGGGAGGCAGCAGUGGGGAAUCUUAGACAAUGGGGGCAACCCUGAUCUAGCCAUGCCGCGUGAGUGAUGAAGGCCUUAGGGUUGUAAAGCUCUUUCAGCUGGGAAGAUAAUGACGGUACCAGCAGAAGAAGCCCCGGCUAACUCCGUG
rnacentral:rRNA from 1 species